UACGUAGGUGGCAAGCGUUGUCCGGAUUUAUUGGGCGUAAAGAGCUCGUAGGCGGUUUGUCGCGUCUGCUGUGAAAACCUAAGGCUCAACCUUGGGCUUGCAGUGGGUACGGGCAGACUAGAGUGCGGUAGGGGUGACUGGAAUUCCUGGUGUAGCGGUGGAAUGCGCAGAUAUCAGGAGGAACACCGAUGGCGAAGGCAGGUCACUGGGCCGCAACUGACGCUGAGGAGCGAAAGCAUGGGGAGCGAACAGG
rnacentral:rRNA from 1 species